rnacentral:rRNA from 1 species
UGAGGAAUAUUGGUCAAUGGGCGAGAGCCUGAACCAGCCAAGUAGCGUGCAGGAAGACGGCCCUAUGGGUUGUAAACUGCUUUUAUGUGGGGAUAAAGUGCGUGACGUGUCAUGCAUUGCAGGUACCAUAUGAAUAAGGACCGGCUAAUUCCGUGCCAGCAGCCGCGGUAAUACGGAAGGUUCGGGCGUUAUCCGGAUUUAUUGGGUUUAAAGGGAGCGUAGGCCGUUUGGUAAGCGUGUUGUGAAAUGUAGGAGCUCAACUUCUAGAUUGCAGCGCGAACUGUCAGACUUGAGUGCGCACAACGUAGGCGGAAUUCAUGGUGUAGCGGUGAAAUGCUUAGAUAUCAUGAAGAACUCCGAUUGCGAAGGCAGCUUACGGGAGCGCAACUGACGCUGAAGCUCGAAGGUGCGGGUAUCGAACAGG